UCCGCGCUCUACAUAGAUAAGAGGCCUAGCGCGUCGAUUUAGCUUGUUGGCAGGUUAAAGGCUCACCAGGCAAUGAUCAGUAGCUUGUUCUGAGAGGUACGCAGCCACACUUGAAUUGAGAAUACCGAACAAGACUCCUACGGAGGCAGCAGUUGAGGAUUUUGCAUGAGGCGAAAGCUGACCAGCAAUACCGGGUGAAAGAUGAAGGCUUUUGGGUUGUAAACUUCUUUCAUUGAUGAAGAAUUUGUGACUAAAGUCAAAGAAGAAGCACCGGCUAAUUACGUGCCAGCAGCCGCGGUAAUACGUAAGGUGCAAGCGUUGUACGGAUUUAUUGGGCGUAAAGCGUCUGUAGAUGGUAAUUUAAGUUUAAGGUUAAAUAUCUAUGCUUAACGUAGUAAAAGCUUUGAAAACUGAUUUACUUGAGUAUAAUAGAGGUAGAGGGAAUUUUCAGUGUAGCGGUGAAAUGCGUAGAUAUUGAAAAGAACACCAAUGGCGAAAGCACUCUGCUGGGUUAUUACUGACAUUGAGAGACGAAAGCUGGGGGAGCAAAACGGAUUAGAUACCCGUGUAGUCCCAGCUGUAAACGAUGGACACUAGAUGAUAUUUAUAUUGUCGAAGCUAACGCGUUAAGUGUCCCGCCUGGGGAGUAUGCUUGCAAAAGUGAAACUCAAACGAAUUGACGGGGGCCCGCACAAGCGGUGGAACAUGCGAUUUAAUUAGAUGAUACACUAAGAACCUUACCAGGGUUUGACAUGUCAGGAAGUUUUUUGAAAGAAAGAUGUGCUCUUUUUGAGAGCCUGAACACAAGUGGUGCAUGGCUGUCGUCAGUUCGUGUCGUGAGAUGUCCGGUUAAGUCCUUUAACGAACGCAACCCUUUUCUUUAGUUAUUUUUCUAGAAAUACUGCCGGUGAUAAAUCGGAGGAAGGUGAGGAUGACGUCAAGUCAGCAUGCCCCUUAUGUCCUGGGCUACACACGUGCUACAAUGGCCAAUACAACGAGUAGCAAACUCGCGAGAGCAAGCAAAUCUCUAAAAGUUGGCCUUAGUUCGGAUUAUAGACUGCAACUCGUCUAUAUGAAGCUGGAAUUGCUAGUAAUCGCCGAUCAGCUAUGCGGUGGUGAAUACGUUCUCAGGUCUUGCACACACCGCCCGUCACACCAUGGAAAUUGGCUAAACUCGAAGUAGUCUUCUUUUAGAUAGGUUACUAAGGUUGGGCUAGUGACUAGGGUGAAGUCGUAACAAGGUAACCA
rnacentral:rRNA from 1 species